CCUACGGGGGGCAGCAGUGAGGAAUAUUGGUCAAUGGCCGAGAGGCUCAACCAGCCAAGUCGCGUGAGGGAAGAAUGUCCUAUGGAUUGUAAACCUCUUUUGUCAGGGAGCAAAGUCACCCACGUGUGGGUGUUGGAGCGUACCUGUAGAAAAAGCAUCGGCUAACUCCGUGCCAGCAGCCGCGGUAAUACGGAGGAUGCGAGCGUUAUCCGGAUUUAUUGGGUUUAGAGGGUGCGUAGGCGGGUUAUCAAGUCAGCGGUAAAAUCGUGGAGCUCAACUCCAUCCAGCCGUUGAAACUGAUGAUCGUGAGUGGGCGAGAAGUAUGCGGAAUGCGUGGUGUAGCGGUGAAAUGCAUAGAUAUCACGCAGAACUCCGAUUGCGAAGGCAGCAUACCGGCGCCCGACUGACGCUGAAGCACGAAAGCGUGGGUAUCGAACAGGAUUAGAUACCCCUGUAGUC
rnacentral:rRNA from 1 species